UCGAGAAUUUUUCACAAUGGGCGCAAGCCUGAUGGAGCGACGCCGCGUGGGGGAUGAAGGGUUUCGAUCCGUAAACCCCUGUCAUUUGCGAACAAACCUUGAUUGUGAAUAGCGAUCGAGCUGAUUGUAGCGGAAGAGGAAGGGACGGCUAACUCUGUGCCAGCAGCCGCGGUAAUACAGAGGUCCCAAGCGUUGUUCGGAUGCACUGGGCGUAAAGGGUGCGUAGGUGGUCGGUGAAGUUCGGUGUGAAAGCUCGGAGCUCAACUCCGAUACAGCAUUGAUAACUCAUCGGCUGGAGGGUCGGAGGGGAGACUGGAAUUCUCGGUGUAGGAGUGACAUGCGUAGAUGUCGAGGGGAACACCAGUGGCGAAUGCGAGUCUCUGGACGACUCCUGACACUGAGGCACGAAAGCCAGGGGAGCAAACAG
rnacentral:rRNA from 1 species